rnacentral:rRNA from 1 species
GACGAACGCUGGCGGCGUGCCUAAUACAUGCCAGUCGAGCGAAGUUUUUCUGGUGCUUGCACUAGAAAAACUUAGCGGCGAACGGGUGAGUAACACAUAAAGAACCUGCCUCAUAGACUGGGACAACUAUUGGAAACGAUAGCUAAUACCGGAUAACAGUAUUUCUCGCAUGAGAGAUAUUUAAAAGUUGGUUAUGCUAACACUAUGAGAUGGCUUUGCGGUGCAUUAGCUAGUUGGUGGGGUAAAGGCCCACCAAGGCGACGAUGCAUAGCCGACCUGAGAGGGUGAUCGGCCACACUGGGACUGAGACACGGCCCAGACUCCUACGGGAGGCAGCAGUAGGGAAUCUUCCGCAAUGGGCGAAAGCCUGACGGAGCAACGCCGCGUGAGUGAAGAAGGAUUUCGGUUCGUAAAGCUCUGUUGUUAGGGAAGAAUGGAUAUGUAGUAACUAUACAUGUAAGAGACGGUACCUAACCAGAAAGCCACGGCUAACUACGUG